CUGGGAGGGACUGGCAGUACAGGGAAGAUACUGAGAGCACUGGGAGGACACUGGGUGACACUGGGAGGUUACUGGGGGCACUGAGAGGUUACUGGGGGCACUGGGAACAGACUGGGAUGACUGGGAGGCGACUGGGAUGACUGGCAACAGACUGGGAGCAGCGGGGGAUCGAACCGCGGUCUCUCCGCUCCCAUUCCCGCUUCUCCAUUCGCGCUCUUCACAUUCCCGCCCCGGCCGCUUCCAUUCCGUGCAGAGGGGGGUUCUGCUUUCCCUCCCUAUUGCCCCCCAUGUCCUGGGAGCAAUGGGAUGUUACUGGGAGUGACUGGGAGCACUGGGAGGAUACUGGGAGCACUGGGAGGCGACUGGGAUCACUGGGAACAGACUGGGAGCACUGGGGGAUCGAACCGUGGUGUCUCUGUCCCCCCCCAAGCCGGUUGCAUUCUGCUCCUGGGAGGUGACUGGGAGGGACUGGCAGUACUGGGAAGAUACUGAGAGCACUGGGAGGACACUGGGUGACACUGGGAGGACACUGGGUGACACUGGGAGGUUACUGGGAGCACUGGGAGGUUACUGGGAGCACUGGGAACAGACUGGGAGCACUGGGGGAUCGAACCGUGGUGUCCAUGUCCCCCCCCCAAGCCGGUUCCAUUCUGCUCCUGGGAGGUGACUGGGAGGGACUGGCAGUACUGGGAAGAUACUGAGAGCACUGGGAGGAGACUGGGUGACACUGGGAGGACACUGGGUGACACUGGGAG